rnacentral:rRNA from 1 species
GACGAACGCUGGCGGCGUGCUUAACACAUGCAAGUCGAACGGUAAGGCCCUUCGGGGUACACGAGUGGCGAACGGGUGAGUAACACGUGGGUGAUCUGCCCUGCACUUCGGGAUAAGCCUGGGAAACUGGGUCUAAUACCGGAUAGGACCACUGCCUGCAUGGGUGGUGGUGGAAAGCUUUUGCGGUGUGGGAUGGGCCCGCGGCCUAUCAGCUUGUUGGUGGGGUGAUGGCCUACCAAGGCGACGACGGGUAGCCGGCCGGAGGGGGGGACCGGCCACACCGGGAGUGAGAUACGGCCCAGACGCCUAGGGGAGGAAGCAGUGGGAAUAUUGCACAAUGGGCGCAAGCCUGAUGCAGCGACGCCGCGUGAGGGAUGACGGCCUUCGGGUUGUAAACCUCUUUCAGCACCGACGAAGCGCAAGUGACGGUAGGUGCAGAAGAAGGACCGGCCAACUACGUGCCAGCAGCCGCCGUAA